UACGUAGGUGGCAAGCGUUGUCCGGAAUUAUUGGGCGUAAAGCGCGCGCAGGCGGUCCUUUAAGUCUGAUGUGAAAGCCCACGGCUCAACCGUGGAGGGUCAUUGGAAACUGGGGGACUUGAGUACAGAAGAGGAAAGCGGAAUUCCACGGUGUAGCGGUGAAAUGCGUAGAGAUGUGGAGGAACACCAGUGGCGAAGGCGGCUUUCUGGUCUGUGAACUGACGCUGAGGCGCGAAAGCGUGGGGAGCAAACAGG
rnacentral:rRNA from 1 species